AAAGUUUGAAACUCGACAGCGUCACAGGGAACGGUUUGGUGUUUGCUUAACUCACUAACUAGCUUGUUGUCCAGUUAUGAUUAUAUAGCCUUUUUCAAGUCAGGCCGUUGUCUAAUCACAUUUGCAUAAAUAUAGAAGAUUUGGUCAAUUUGGCUGCUUGACAGUUUCUGAAUAAGAUUACUAACAUUAGCUGGAAAAGCAAUUGAUUGACACUGAUUUUGCAACGAUUACUAUGGACCCUUUUGAGGAGAGCGGCUACAAAGGUUAGUUCAGCAUUACGUUUCAGCCGUUCGUUAACGUGUUUGCAGCCCGGGAUGGCUCGACGAUAGAAUAAUAAUUGACCUGGUGUUGUGCAGAGCAGAAGGAUAUUGAACAUAGUUAUAAUGAUGGUGAGUAUAACCCAUAGACCGUAUGAAAAUAUACGGUACGGUAUAACCGAAAUAAACGUGCAGAUUUUGGACAGUGGGACACAGAGUCAGUGAAUGGGGACAGCUAACCUCUCUGUUUGUGUGUAUAUAUAUAUAUAUAUAUAUAUAUAUAUAUGUAUAUGUUUUAGUUUUCUUUUUUUUUAAUGUAAUGGAACUAAAGAUCCCUGUGAGAUAGUGGACUCCCGGUAUACUCUUACCCAUAACUUAUAGCACACACACACACACAGAUACACGCAAUACCCUGCUGUACUGUACUGUAGACUUUUGAAGUACAGAGGGGAACCAUGGCAACACACUAAGCAGACAUUGUCUCAGCUCAGCACGUCUCCCUGAACCUGGCCACCUGGUUGCCAUAGUAACAGGUGUCCCAGGUCCAGAGUGUGAGGGAUCCGUGAGCCACUGACAUCCUCUUGUGGAUUCCUUCUUCCUCAGAACCUUUCCAGACUUUUUAAAAUAUGUAUGCGCUUUUCAACUCAUUCUAUUUUGCUGUAUUCAUUUAUCACGUUCUCUCUGCUUAACUGUACAUUAUUCAUAUUAAACAUGGAAAGGCUUGGCCAAUGGCACAGCUCCCUUGAUUGGUUAUUUUUAGGGGUGGGGGGAGUGGUAUGGUGGGGUAACAAACAAAGUCUAAGCACAUAGUUCCUGAAUACCUAAGACCAAGAAGGAUGUUUGUGAGAUACAAGACUUACAUUCACACGUGAAUGGACAGUGAAGCACACACUCAGACACAUACAUCUCUAUCGGGUGAGUUCCUGUUGCUCAGAAUGGAUUUCAACUUUUGUACUUUACCUUCAUUAACGUCAUGCUUGAGUCUGUUUAUGUAAAUGCAUUUUAUUUCUUAGAUGUACAGCAGUGCAUGUCAUAAUGAAGCAGUUCAACACACUGGAGCCACUGCAUAAGCCUAACACACAAAGCAGUGGUUCACUCAGUCACAACAGGAAAUAACUGGAACUCAUUUGAGCAUUUCUCCUGGCCUACAGUGCACAGAACGGGGACUGCAGGAUGGGGCUCCCUAUACCCCCCACACCCAACAUACACUGGCAGAGUGUCAGUUCCCUGUACUUAGCCUUACACCUUCUGAGGUUUGUGCUGUCCUGAGCUGAUAUGAGCAAUGCCAAACAAAUAUGAAAUUUGGAAUUUAUGUCUUAAUAUACCUUCACAGUUUACAUUUCCACAUAAUGAAGCAGUUCAGCAGACACUGGAGCCACUGCAUAAGCCUAACACAUAAAGCAGACCCCCCGCCCACCCCCAACAUACACUGACAGAGUGUCAGUUCCCCAUAAUUUGCCGUGCCGUUUGUGCCGUCCUGAGCUGAUAUGAGCAAUGCCAAACAAAUAUGAAAUAUGGAAUUUAUGUCUUAAUAUACCAUCACAGUUUACAUUUCCACAUAAGGCUGACUCUCUUUUUUCGUUUCACACCUAUUGUUAUAAAUUGUUACAAAGUCAAUUCAAUUUAUGAAUAAGCAAAGACAGGAUUCGCUAUGCUCUCAAGCGUAUAAAACAAACUUCACUGACGAACAGAUGAGAAGACUUUUGGCUAUAACCCCGAUGACACUGAGGCGCCGUCUGAUGGAAACUUCAGUUUUGAGCUGUCUUCAUUUGAAAUAUUCUUCAUCCACGCAGAAUAAUCGUCCUUUGACGGUCUUAACACUGGAGGUGGAGGGUUGAGAGGCAGGUAAGGAAUUUCGUAAAUACUACUCAAAUACCUCAGAAAUUACAGACACCGUACUCACAGUUCCACAAAGAGACUUACAUAAAUCCUUGAUGAGGACAGUCAGAGUAAAUUUUCUUCAUGCUCACAAUGUUGGCGCUGGGAAUUCUGCCUUUAAAAAAUUUGAAACAGCAUCUUUCGGGGCUGUCGUGUGACUUACGUAGGCCAUCGGCAUGAUGCGGCACGAUGCCAUACAGCAGGAGGGCCAGACAGAUGGAGAUCUUCAGCAUACUGAUGACUCGAUGACUUCCUGAGUGAGCGUGUGUGAGUGGUC